UCAAUUAACAGCCGUCACAACAACUCCACUCUCAACUUCCCCACAAAACAAACCAAAAUUACAGGAAAAAAAAGGACCUUCAAUUCAAACUAUCUUGAAAUUCUACCUCACUAUUGGUGAAAAUCUGCAAAAACCGCCGAUUCUCGCAAAGGCUUUCUGCGUUUUGAAGUUUUGAUCAAGCAAAAUUUUGGGGGAAAAUGAGUGAUUUCAGUGCAACGGAGGAGAGAGAUUAUGUUUCCCUGCGGAAUCUCAAAGUGGAUUUCAGAAGAGAAGACGAUGGGGAAGAGGGAGAUGGAUGUUUUGCGCUCUGUUUCUGGAUUUACAUUGAUGAUUGUGCUUCUUUCCCUUCUUCAGUUUUGAUUCAGGUUUGCGAAUGCUUCAAUACCCCUUUUUUCUGUUGAUGAUGGAGUAGGGUUCUUCACUUACUCAAGAAAGUUUGAAUCUUUAAGGCGCUUGAGUUUUUUUAUGCAUUUGGGGAAUUCUUGUGGUUUGUGUUCUUCAUUUGUGCUGAUUUAGGUGGCUUAAGUAAAUGUAGGAUGUUUGGACACUUGGGUUUUCAUUUUUAUGUCAUCUUAUGAAUUGAUGAAGAAGGCUUUUGUGGGAUGAGGAUGAUUUUAUGUGUCGUUGCUCACAUUGUGUAUCGGAAAGCUUGUGGUGUCUGCUUAGUUUCAAUGAAUGAACAUUAUGCGGAAGCAUCCAGAUGUCGCUUGUAAUCAGCCUUUUUUUGUACUUGGACGACAAGGAGAAAAUGAAGCUCUUUCCGCUGCUGUGUAUGUACAAAGAGGCUUACAAUCCCGAAAAUCCUAUUCCCUUGACUGAUGUUCCAUGUAUCUCCACGGAGAUUGAGUUCCCUAUGAAGAAAUGGGUUCACGUUGGAUGUGAGGUCUCCAUUGAUCUUAUGAGGCUUCAUGUAGAUGAGGAAAUUGUCGGAGACAAUCCUUAGACCUGCUCAAUUAACAAGGACUUGCAUGAAGAGGGUUUGAAAAAUAUAUGCUUGGCAUGCCCCGACGAAAAUAAAGAUAAAUUACAUGGCUAUGUUCAUGGACUUGGUGUCCUGUUCCGUGAACCGUCCAUCAAAAACCACUAUGUCAAGGAUCCUCCGUUACGACUGGCAAUUGACCAUUCUAGUGCAUUGGAGAUUGAAGAAGGCAGUGACAGUGUGUGGAGCAUCGUUGGGGGCAAGGUAAAAUCGAUCAUAGCACCCUUUAUUUUUGUUCAUCCGAAUACUAAGUUUGGACCAAAACGUGCAAAUUACACAAUACAUACAAAACAUUUUGUACUAAAUUAAAACAUUGGUAAAACAUUUUGUAUGUAGUGAGUAAUUUGUCCGCUCUGGUCCAAACUUAUUUUUUCUGUUAAAACUAAUGGUUAAAGGUGUUUGACCAAAUUAAUGACUUAAUUAUAAUCUAAUUAACUUAAUUCAUUUAAUAUUAAAAUUUAUAAAAUAUUUUUUCACUCAAAAUAAAAACAGAUCAAUUCAAAGGAAAUUUACAUAAAAUAAAAAAUUGACUUAGUUAUAACCUAAUUAACUUAUUUUAUUAUUAAUCUCAAUUAAAAUAUAAAAACCACUACCAUUUGCUUUAAUAAAAAUAACAUUUACGGGAAUGAAAAAGUUAAUUGCCAUGACUCGGCAACCUCUUAAGAUUAAUUGUCAGAUCAACACUUAAUUGCCCACAAUGAAAUAUCAUAACUGCCUUAAUUGUAAUGCGUUUUACAAUUCAUACAACUACGCACUUGCCAUUGGAUAUGCUGAUAGAAGAAAACGGAAAUUGCUUGAAUAAUAUAUAUACACUAUAAUGUCCCUCAUUUUUCUUUCUCAUAUUUAUAUUUUAUGUUUUGAAUAUUGCCGCCUUUUAAAUCUUUUGGAUAAAGAUAACAUAGGAGGACAGCCGCCUCCCACCGCCGCCCCCCUUCUCACAUAGCCGUUUCAUAGCCGCAGCUCGCCGUUUCCACGCAAUAGGGCGCCGCUGCCCGCUCCCAACCCCUUCUCCCUCAGCCGUGUCCUCGCCGGUGAAUUUGGAGUCUGGUUUACAUGAUUCAUCACUUUGUUGAACAAAUUCACUGUCUAAACCUUGAAAAUCAAAUUAGAAAGCUAAAAAAGAGAGGCCUAAACAUAUCAGCAAUCCUCCCCCUCCACCUCCCCCUCCACCCUCUUGUACUUCCCUUUCUUCUCUUGACGAUAUUGCUCCAUCAACAUGUCAAAUGAUUCUUUUGUUGUAAAAUUCGCCUUCCACGGACAUGGGACCAUGAAACUGCAAAGGUGAGGAUCGAACUUGUAGUUGCCGCAGUGUUUACAGAAAUCACUGGGCUGUUGUUUUUUACACCAUGGGAGCGCUUCCAGUGCUCCGUGAUCGGGAGUUUACUGUUGCGGCCGAAAUGGGGACAAAGUUUAUGAUUGCAAGGGAAUCUUCCUUGCUUUACCUUUUUCUUCAACGGCUUCUCUUUUGCAGAAAUGCAAAAGGAAGUUGCUCCAUUUCCUCCACCAACCAAACCUACAAAAAAAUAACCACAAUCAAUUCUUAAUUUUGUAAAUAAAAGAAAAAAAGUUUAUUCUAUCUAGAGAAUGAAUCAUAUCUCUAAUUUGAAGUUAGAAAUACAAAAUAAUCUAAUUCGAAGUUAGAAAUGCAAAAUGAAAACGCAGAUAACA